rnacentral:rRNA from 1 species
AGUGAACGCUGGCGGCGUGCUUAACACAUGCAAGUCGAACGAGAACGGGUUAUAGCUUGCUUUAAUUGUCAGCUAAGUGGCGCACGGGGGAGUAAUGUAUAGGUAAUAUGCCUCUUACUAAGGGAUAACAAAUGGAAACGUUUGCUAAUACCUUAUACUCCUUAUUAACAGAAGUUAAUAAGGGAAAGAUUUAUUGGUAAGAGAUUAGCCUGUAUUGUAUCAGUUAGUUGGUGGGGUAAUGUCUUACCAAGACUAUGACACAUAACUGGUUUGGGAGGAUGGUAAGUCACACUGGAACUGAGACACGGUCCAGACUCCUACGGGAGUCAGCAGUGGGGAAUAUUGCAAAAUGGACGAAAGUCUGAUGCAGCAACGCCGCGUGGAGGAUGACACAUUUAGGUGCGUAAACUCCUUUUAUAUGAGAAGAUAAUGACGGUAUGAUAUGAAUAAGCACCGGCUAACUCCGUGCCAGCCGCCGCGGUAA